GACGAACGCUGGCGGCGUGCUUAACACAUGCAAGUGGAGCGACGAACCAGGGCUUGCCCUGGGGCAAAGCCGCGAACGGGUGAGUAACACGUGGGUAACCUGCCCCGAAGACCGGGACAACCCGAGGAAACUCGGGCUAAUACCGGAUGUGGUCACUCUUCAUAAGGAGAGUGAGCAAAGGAAGCUACGGCCUCCGCUUCGGGAUGGGCCCGCGGCCCAUUAGCUUGUUGGUGAGGUAACGGCUCACCAAGGCUUCGAUGGGUAGCUGGUCUGAGAGGACGAUCAGCCACACUGGGACUGAGACACGGCCCAGACUCCUACGGGAGGCAGCAGUGGGGAAUCUUGCGCAAUGGGCGACAGCCUGACGCAGCAACGCCGCGUGAGGGAAGAAGGCUUUCGGGUCGUAAACCUCUUUCAGGAGGGACGAAGCUUCGGGAGUGAAUAGCUUUCCGGAGUGACGGUACUUCCACAAGAAGCCCCGGCUAACUACGUGCCAGCCGCCGCAGUAA
rnacentral:rRNA from 1 species